rnacentral:rRNA from 1 species
GGGUGCGAUCAUACCAGCACUAAUGCACCGGAUCCCAUCAGAACUCCGAAGUUAAACGUGCUUGGGCGAGAGUAGUACUAAGAUGGGUGACCUCUUGGGAAGUCCUCGUGGUGCGUGUU